CUCACACAAUGAUCAGCUCCACAGGAGGCAAGCUGCACGGUCUCAGAAUCUUCGCUCUUCUGAGGAUUUCUCCAAGAUAGUCGUUGAACAGUAGAGACGUGGCAUAGAAAUGGAUCAAACUUGACAGCGGGAGAAGCAUUUUGGACUGAUAAAUGCCCAUCUCCUCCUCUGCUAUCCAGAUUCCAUAGUUCAAUCAAGCCAUUUUCCAUUCCCACUGCAAGAAGCCCAUGAUUGCUAUGGUUAUCGAGACUUAACCAAGACAGGGCAGUGACGCUGCUUUUGAAAGGUGGAAGUGUCAACAGUAGCUUCACCGAGGUUUCAGUUCCCACGGCCCAUAUUUUGACAGUUUUGUCCCUUGAACCAGUAGCAAAUUCAUGACCAAAUGGGUUCCAAGAACAUGACCAUAUUAUUCUUUUAUGUGCUUCUUGCUUAGCUACGAGCUGGUAAUCGAUCUCAUCAGUUCCUUUAUGAUUAAUUUGAAAAACAGAGAAGUGGCGAUCUCUUGAAACAGCCAAGAGAUACUUGUUAUCAUGAGAGAACUCCAUUUGGG
rnacentral:misc_RNA from 1 species